UUUGCAGGGAUUGUGUGUAUCGGUUUUGUGCUUUAAAUCAAUGCAUUCUUCCGAAAGAGUUCCCUGCAACAUCAAUUUUGAGAAAAUGGGCAGUUGUGCUUCAUCUUUUUUCUAUUGAAUAUCACAACAAUCAUUUUCCCUACAUCU